CCCUUAGAUGUUCUGGGCCGCACGCGCGCUACACUGAUGCAUUCAACGAGCCUAUCCUUGACCGACAGGUCCGGGUAAUCUUUGAAUCUGCAUCGUGACGGGGAUAGAUUAUUGCAAUUAUUAAUCUUCAACGAGGAAUGCCUAGUAGGCGCAAGUCAUCAGCUUGCGUCGAUUACGUCCCUGCCCUUUGUACGCACCGCCCGUCGCCCCUACCGAUUGGGUGUGCUGGUGAAAUGUUCGGAUCGGCCGUUUGUCGCGGUUUCCGCGUCAUGUGGCUGAGAAGUUCAUUAAACCCUCCCACCUAGAGGAAGGAGAAGUCGUAACA
rnacentral:rRNA from 1 species